rnacentral:rRNA from 1 species
AACGUAGGAGACAAACGUUAUCCGGAGUUACUGGGCGUAAAGGGCGUGUAGGUGGUUUUGUAAGUCUGGCGUGAAAUUUUUCGGCUUAACCGGGAAAGGUCGUCGGAUACUGCAGGACUAGAGGACGGUAGAGGCGUGUGGAAUUCCGGGUGUAGUGGUGAAAUGCGUAGAGAUCCGGAGGAACACCAGUGGCGAAGGCGACACGCUGGGCCGUACCUGACACUGAGGAGCGAAGCGUGGG